AAGAGCAGACAGAGCCUCAUGAUGUCUAACAAGGAGAAGUGCGAAAGUCCUGCACAUGAACAGGAACAACCCCAGACACCAACAUAUGCUGGGGUGGCUACCUAGCUGCUCUGAGAGAAGACACGCAGCAAUGUCAUUCAAAGAAAAUGAGUAAGCAAUUGCAGAAAUGCCAAGAAAAUAUCUGCUGCUGUGAAGUUGAUGCUCCUGAUCUAGAAAUUGCUUGGAAGAAGCAGAAGGCAGGCUGAGGAGCAGCACUGAAGAGUC